rnacentral:lncRNA from 1 species
GUAGAUACAUAUUGUACAUUCUUAUAUGAUUAUCGUGUGAACAUGACCAUGUUUCUUAUAUGUUCUGCUCUGAUUAUGUGUACAUAGUAAUUGUGCCCAUAUGGACAUGGCUACCUCGCUAUGUUUAUAUCUUAUUAUUGAGUAUGGUUUUGCAUAUUUUGUAUUCUUUUUGAUUAACAUACAAUAUAUUGAGUAUAUGUUGUAUUUUAAGAAAAGACUAAAUAAAGUUGAUUUGUCCAGGUAUUACAUCUCAAACUGUCCACCAAAGGUUGUCCAUUAUACAUCAUCUAUUAUAAGUUGUUCCACCUAAACCUCGUAAAUCAAAAUAUUGUCCAACAAUGCACAACAUGGUACACCAAACAUAGUUCUAGACAGAAUGUAAUUUGGACCACAUCCAUAUGGCCAUAUCUUUUACAUCUAAUUUAUGUCCAUUGAAGUAAGUACAUAUAAAGGCAAACAAAUAAGGAUUGCAUACAUGUAUAUGUGGACAUGUGCAUGUGGACAUGGACAUGUCACUAACCAAAGCGAAACAGAAAAACAAAUCUACGAAAAAACAAUUUAGAAGAAAAAUAUGUAUAGAUUAGUCUCAUCGAUAGCUUAAAUCCACCAUUUUGGUACACUAUGGACGUGGCCACAACGACAGAGAGAUCUGAGAAAAAGAGAGAGAGAAAUCCAAGAAAAAAAUGUGGAGAAGAAGAAGAAGAGAGAUCUGAGAAACAGAGAGAGAGAAAUCCAAGAGUAAGAAAACAAGAUGGAGAAGAGGGAUCUGAGAGAUCUGAGAGGAAUAGAACAAGGUGGAAAAGAGGAAGAAGAGGGAUCUGAGAGAGAAUAAGGAAAAGAAAUGAUGAUAAAUAUUCAUGUCAAAUAAGAGAUUAUGAGGCAGAUCUGAGACAUGGAGGAAAAAAAGAGAGUAUGUGUCGUUCUUUUCUCUCUUUUUUCUGUUUGUUUGUUUUUUAAAAAAAAAUUAACAAGACAAUCUAUUAAGAAAAAAUUUGUUUACAUCAGUUUGGUUUUUCAACAAAAAUAUGUCAUAAGGUUCUUGUUGUCAUAUUAUCUUCAUAAGUCAAAGAAAAGUGUUAUCUUAAACACUAGUGCCAAAAAGUGUAAAUAUAAACUCAAAAGUGUCAAAACGUGUAAACACCUCUAUUUAUAAGUAUAACUACUAUGCAUAGUUAAAUUUGUCUGUGUAUUAUAAUGGAAAAUUUCCAUAAAAAAAUCUUCAAAUAUUUAACCUUGAACUAUUUGCGAUCUUACUUUAAACCUCGAACUUAAUUGUUUUUCCAAUAUAAAUCUUCAAGUCUUAUAAAUUGUGCCUGAGUGAGAGUUAGCCAACAGUCCACUAUAACUGUGCUUAACAAACUAAACUCUUGUUAACAAUAAUAAUUCGUCUGUUAAUUUUUUAAAACACAUGUUUCUUAACUCAAAUGGGUCGGGUUUUUGAGGACUGAAAAUUUGAAGAAAGUGAUUGAAGACUCAAAGAAGGUAACUCAACGAUUUUGUUUCUAGGUUUGGUUUGGAGUUUUUCAAUUUGUUUCAUCCUCGUUUUAUGACUUUCUGGUUUUAUUGGUGAUUUAAGGAUUUUAUGAAUAUAGGUUCAUGAUGUUGUCAUUUGUGUUUAUAAUAUUAUUUGAGAAGGCAACGAGUGGCCUACAAAUAUAAUCAUACCUGCGAUGAAAUUGAUUCGAUGAAAGUAAAGAAUAAGUUAAAAACUUUUUUCUUUAUAGAAGAAGUGAGGCAGUUUUUUUUGUAGAAUAGUUAGAAAAACACAUACAUUUAUAAUAACAUCAAAUAUAUAAUAUAUAUUUUCUCCUGUCUUGGUAUGUGUAUUACUAAAAAAAAAGUGUCAUACCCUUGGUUUUGUUUGGGUUUUAUAUGCCAAGCGUUUCCUCUUUUUUUCUAACAAAAAGACAAAAGAGAAGUUCAUUAUUGUGAUUCAUCCUCAAUAAUUUAUAUGAAACAAAAUUAAGAGGUCCAUCUGCUCCUCUUAAAAUAUGUGUUCUUUUCACUUUCACAUUCAAACCCUCAAGGCUCUGAAUGAAGAAAGUGGAUCAGAGAGUGCGGAUCAAAUGGUUCAAACAGACGGAUCAAAUACAAAUCAGGUGGACCUGGCGGAACAAGUACAGAUCAAGCGGUCCAAAAU